GAGGUCGCGUCUCGGAGGGGGACGGGCCGCUCGGCGGACGGACGGACGGAAUCGCGCCGGCCCGACCGCCCGCCCGACGCUCCGUCGGGAGACGGGCCCGGCGAGGGGGAGAGGCGACGGGAGAGAGAGCGCGCGGCCGACGGCGCCCCCGCGCCGCCCCGCCGGAGCGGGACGACCGGAGGGAGGGGCACGGGCCGGGGGCGGGACGGGCGCCGCACGCCCCGACCCGUCUCCCCCGCGGAGGUCGGGGGGACGGGUCCGAGGACGCGGCGGCGGAGCCGCCCCGCCCCGACGCGGAAGCUCGGGACGGGGCCCCGGCGCGGCGCGGCGCGGCCGCGAGCCGGAGGCGGGCGCGCGACGGCGGACGACACCGCGGCGUCCCGCGGGUCGCCGCCGGGGACACGCGAACCCCGGCGCCGCGGCCACGGGCGCGGCCGGGCGGGCCGCGGGGCGGGCUCCCGGCCCCGGCCGACGCGCCGCGAGGCGAGCCGGGCGGGCGGGCGCGCGCGCGUACGCGCGGGGAGGGCGAGGAGGACGGGCGGGGCCUCGGAGGAGGGGCGGCGGGGAGGAGGAGGGGCGCGGGAGCGGCGGUCGGCCGGACGCCGGGCCGCCACCGGGGGCGGGCGGCGAACCGCGGCGACCGGGACGCGCUCCCCCGACCCUCUCUCCCCGCCGGCACCCUUCCCCUUCCGGACCCGCCUUCCUCCUCCCCCACCACCACACCGCACGCAACACGCCCCCACCGCCGACGACGCGCGACGACGACGACGACGACGG
rnacentral:lncRNA from 1 species